GGGUUCGGCUGGGAUUUGAAACCGGGACAUUUCGCAAACAAAGCGAGAAUUAUAUCCCUAGACCACCGAACC